UACGUAGGGGGCUAGCGUUGUCCGGAAUCAUUGGGCGUAAAGCGCGUGUAGGCGGUCCGGUAAGUCCGCUGUGAAAGUCGGCGGCUCAACCCUCGAAUGCCGGUGGAUACUGUCGGGCUAGAGUGCGGAAGAGGCGAGUGGAAUUCCUGGUGUAGCGGUGAAAUGCGCAGAUAUCAGGAGGAACACCUAUUGCGAAGGCAGCUCGCUGGGACGUAACUGACGCUGAGACGCGAAAGCGUGGGGAGCAAACAGG
rnacentral:rRNA from 1 species